CUAAUACCGGAUAUGACCUUCCGCCGCAUGGCGGGGGGUGGAAAGCUUUUUGCGGUUUUGGAUGGACUCGCGGCCUAUCAGCUUGUUGGUGAGGUAAUGGCUCACCAAGGCGACGACGGGUAGCCGGCCUGAGAGGGUGACCGGCCACACUGGGACUGAGACACGGCCCAGACUCCUACGGGAGGCAGCAGUGGGGAAUAUUGCACAAUGGGCGCAAGCCUGAUGCAGCGACGCCGCGUGAGGGAUGACGGCCUUCGGGUUGUAAACCUCUUUCAGUAGGGAAGAAGCGCAAGUGACGGUACCUGCAGAAGAAGCGCCGGCUAACUACGUGCCAGCAGCCGCGGUAAUACGUAGGGCGCAAGCGUUAUCCGGAAUUAUUGGGCGUAAAGAGCUCGUAGGCGGUUUGUCGCGUCUGCCGUGAAAGUCCGGGGCUCAACCCCGGAUCUGCGGUGGGUACGGGCAGACUAGAGUGAUGUAGGGGAGACUGGAAUUCCUGGUGUAGCGGUGAAAUGCGCAGAUAUCAGGAGGAACACCGAUGGCGAAGGCAGGUCUCUGGGCAUUAACUGACGCUGAGGAGCGAAAGCAUGGGGAGCGAACAGGAUUAGAUA
rnacentral:rRNA from 1 species